GACGAACGCUGGCGGCGUGCUUAACACAUGCAAGUCGAACGGAAAGGCCCUGCUUUUGUGGGGUGCUCGAGUGGCGAACGGGUGAGUAACACGUGAGUAACCUGCCCUUGACUUUGAGAUAACUUCAGGAAACUGGGGCUAAUACCGGAUAGGAGCUCCUGCUGCAUGGUGGGGGUUGGAAAGUUUCGGCGGUUGGGGAUGGACUCGCGGCUUAUCAGCUUGUUGGUGGGGUAGUGGCUUACCAAGGCUUUGACGGGUAGCCGGCCUGAGAGGGUGACCGGCCACAUUGGGACUGAGAUACGGCCCAGACUCCUACGGGAGGCAGCAGUGGGGAAUAUUGCACAAUGGGCGGAAGCCUGAUGCAGCAACGCCGCGUGCGGGAUGACGGCCUUCGGGUUGUAAACCGCUUUCGCCUGUGACGAAGCGUGAGUGACGGUAAUGGGUAAAGAAGCACCGGCUAACUACGU
rnacentral:rRNA from 1 species